AGUGAACGCUGGCGGUAGGCCUAACACAUGCAAGUCGAACGGCAGCACAGAGGAGCUUGCUCCUUGGGUGGCGAGUGGCGGACGGGUGAGGAAUACAUCGGAAUCUACUCUGUCGUGGGGGAUAACGUAGGGAAACUUACGCUAAUACCGCAUACGACCUACGGGUGAAAGCAGGGGACCUUCGGGCCUUGCGCGAUUGAAUGAGCCGAUGUCGGAUUAGCUAGUUGGCGGGGUAAAGGCCCACCAAGGCGACGAUCCGUAGCUGGUCUGAAGGGAUGAGCAGCCACACUGGAACUGAGACACGGUCCAGACUCCUACGGGAGGCAGCAGUGGGGAAUAUUGGACAAUGGGCGCAAGCCUGAUCCAGCCAUACCGCGUGGGUGAAGAAGGCCUUCGGGUUGUAAAGCCCUUUUGUUGGGAAAGAAAUCCAGCUGGCUAAUACCCGGUUGGGAUGACGGUACCCAAAGAAUAAGCACCGGCUAACUUCGUGCCAGCCGCCGCAGUAA
rnacentral:rRNA from 1 species